UACGGAGGGAGCUAGCGUUGUUCGGAAUUACUGGGCGUAAAGCGCGUGUAGGCGGCCAUCUAAGUCGGGCGUGAAAUCCCACGGCUCAACCGUGGAAGUGCACUCGAAACUGGAUGGCUAGAGUCCUGGAGAGGAAGGUGGAAUGCUUGGUGUAGAGGUGAAAUUCGUAGAUAUCAAGCGGAACACCGGUGGCGAAGGCGGCCUUCUGGACAGUGACUGACGCUGAGACGCGAAAGCGUGGGGAGCAAACAGG
rnacentral:rRNA from 1 species